UGGGGAAUCUUGCACAAUGGAGGAAACUCUGAUGCAGCGAUGCCGCGUGAGUGAAGAAGGCCUUUGGGUUGUAAAGCUCUUUUGUAGGGGAAGAUAAUGACUGUACCCUAAGAAUAAGGUCCGGCUAACUUCGUGCCAGCAGCCGCGGUAACACGAAGGGACCUAGCGUAGUUCGGAAUUACUGGGCGUAAAGCGUGCGCAGGCGGUUCGGAAAGAGAGGUGUGAAAUCCCAGGGCUUAACCUUAGAACUGCACUCAAUACUCCCAUGCUAGAGGAAUGUAGAGGAGAGUGGAAUUCACGGUGUAGCAGUGAAAUGCGUAGAUAUCGUGAGGAAGACCAGUUGCGAAGGCGACUCUCUGGGCAUUUCCUGACACUGAGGCACGAAGGCCAGGGGAGCAAACGGG
rnacentral:rRNA from 1 species